rnacentral:misc_RNA from 1 species
UUUUCUCUUCAUCAAAUAAGUUAACGUGGUGUAAACAUGCUAAAAGUAGGAAAGGAACAUUAUAUACAAGAAAAAUAAUAAAGCAAAGAGAAAUUCUUCAGAUCGGACAUUUGAUUUAUUUAAAUGAAUCUUUAGAUAGAAUUAUGAUGAAGCAUGCCUUUGAAGAAAAUUUAAAAUCUCAAACACGUCUAAUUAAUGGGAUUUCAUUCGAAUAUUAUAUAGUGAUCUUAAGUAUAAGCAAUCAGAUUUAUUAGCGCAUUUGCUGAAAAAAUAUUUAGGUGAUGGAUGAGCAACAAGUUGACAAUCAAAGAAAAAGACUUGAUGCCAACCAUUACAAUCAACACAAAAUUUAAUCCCCCAAGUACAAACACGUAUCACUUCUACUUGAUACACAAACACACUUUUGCCACAAUAUAUGAUAAUGAGCUCCUUUACAACAAUCUUGGCAACAAACAUACCAAAAUUAUCACCUUAUUGAAGCUCUGUGGCAAAAAUUAUUAUAAUUCACAUGUCCUAAGGAUCCAGAAAAUAAACCAUUACAGCUAAAAAUAAUCCUAAACAGAUAUAACACCUACUCAAAUUAGCUGCUUGAAGCACAAGAUAGAAACUUAGUUCCUCACCAGAUUUUUACCCUCAACAAUAACAUGAUUCUGAGAACGAAUGACAUGCUUAGUAACACCAGUCUCACCCUUAUCCUUGCCCCUUUUUAUCAUUAUCCAUGAAUUUAAAUUAUUAAAGAUAAAUUACAAAAUGAAAACUUAUUCAUCAGAAAAAGUGAAAAACAAGGAAAGGAAGCGAUAUUAUGAUAUGAGUCUUACAUUAUCACCUCUAAGUACUUUCCAGUGCCUAAUUAGU